UACGUAGGGUGCAAGCGUUGUCCGGAAUUACUGGGCGUAAAGAGCUCGUAGGCGGUUUGUCACGUCGACUGUGAAAUCCCAUGGCUCAACUGUGGGCGUGCAUUCGAUACGGGCAGACUUGAGUACUGCAGGGGAGACUGGAAUUCCUGGUGUAGCGGUGAAAUGCGCAGAUAUCAGGAGGAACACCGGUGGCGAAGGCGGGUCUCUGGGCAGUAACUGACGCUGAGGAGCGAAAGCAUGGGUAGCGAACAGG
rnacentral:rRNA from 1 species